rnacentral:rRNA from 1 species
GAUCAUGGCUCAGAACGAACGCUGGCGGCGCGUUUAAGCAUGCAAGUCGAGCGGCAAGGGCCUUCGGGCCCUAGAGCGGCGGACGGGUGAGUAACACGUGGACAAUCUGCCCCCCGGCCCGGGAUAGCCCAGGGAAACCUGGAUUAAUACCGGAUGAGACGGGACCCGCGAUGGCGGGAUCCGGGAAAGGCGCUGCGGCGCCGCCGGGGGAUGAGUCUGCGUCCCAUUAGCUAGACGGCGGGGUAACGGCCCACCGUGGCGACGAUGGGUAGCCGGCCUGAGAGGGUGGACGGCCACAUUGGAACUGAGACACGGUCCAGACUCCUACGGGAGGCAGCAGCUAAGAAUCUUCCGCAAUGGGCGAAAGCCUGACGGAGCCGACGCCGCGUGAACGAAGAAGGCCGUGAGGUUGUAAAGUUCUUUUCGGGAGGGGGAACAACCGUGGCAGGGAAUGGCCGCGGGAUGACGUGAAUCCCGGAAUAAGCCCCGGCUAACUACGUGCCAGCCGCGGC